rnacentral:sRNA from 1 species
GAACAAGUGCCAAAGAAGCAACAACUGGUUUUAAAAGAUUAAUUUGUGGUGCCGAAGGUGAUAAAGACUAAAAUGGAUUGGACAGCACUUAAAAGUAAAAUAUAUGCUUCUUCUGUAAAGGACGGCUCCCAGUAUUUUGUGCUUCUGAUUGUUACAGAUGGUGUUAUCUCAGAUAUGGCCCAGACUAAGGAGUCCAUAGUUAAUGCCUCAAAACUUCCAAUGUCAAUAAUUAUAGUAGGUGUUGGACCAGCAGAAUUUGAUGCAAUGGUCGAAUUGGAUGGAGAUGAUGUAAGAGUCUCCUCUAGAGGAAAAUAUGCUGAAAGAGACAUUGUGCAGUUUGUGCCAUUCAGGGAUUAUAUUGACAGAAGUGGAAACCACAUACUGAGCAUGGCUAGAUUGGCUAAAGAUGUCCUAGCUGAGAUCCCUGAGCAGUUUCUCUCCUAUAUGAGAGCCCGUGGAAUCAAGCCAUUGCCUGCGCCUCCCCCAUACACCCCACCUACACAUGUGUUACAGACUCAAAUAUGACUGUGCUCUGAAAUGCUAAUGUCAACUACAAAUCAGAACUGCUGAGUUAAUGCUUUGUGCCUGGUGCUCUGUAAUGAACCAGGCAAUGAGAUACUUUUCUCAGUUUGGUUUCAGCAGUUAAUGUGCUUUCUUGGAUCCAAAAUUAAAUAUCUUCCUAAACCAAAACUGUAAAUAUGGUUGUUGCAUGAGCAACAGAAAAAAUUGUUUAAAUGCUUGAAGCAAAGUACGGAUGUCUUCUCUAAAUCUUUCUUUUUUUUUUUUUAACAGAAACAGCUAAUUUCCAAUGUAUUGUUGGGAAAAAGCACAAACUAUGUUUUUAACUCAAAUAUUGUCUUCGACUGCUAUGUGUAUAGGAAAGCAGUCUCUGUAUCAAUGUUUACAUGUUACUACUUUUUAAAUUUCAAUACUUUUAUAACUGUUCUUAAAAAUAAGAGUUUUAAAUACUGAAUCCUUUGUCUUCUAAAUUGCAAUAGCUAUAAUCACAAGAGCAAUAUCUCUUUGAAUGACUG